GUCUCUGGCCAUAUUACCCAGAACGGGCCUGAUUUCAUCUGAUCUCGGGAAUUAAGUAGGGUCAAGCCUGGUUAGUUCUUGGAUGGGAAAGUCUAAAUGCUAACUAUU
rfam:Neotoma lepida isolate 417 scaffold_4, whole genome shotgun sequence.